AGCGAACGCUGGCGGCAGGCUUAACACAUGCAAGUCGAGCGGGCGUAGCAAUACGUCAGCGGCAGACGGGUGAGUAACGCGUGGGAAUGUGCCUUUCGGUUCGGAACAACUCAGGGAAACUUGAGCUAAUUCCGGAUACGCCCUUACGGGGAAAGAUUUAUCGCCGAAAGAUCAGCCCGCGUUGGAUUAGCUAGUUGGUGAGGUAACGGCUCACCAAGGCUACGAUCCAUAGCUGGUUUGAGAGAACGACCAGCCACACUGGGACUGAGACACGGCC
rnacentral:rRNA from 1 species